GGUUAAGCGACUAAGCGUACACGGUGGAUGCCCUGGCAGUCAGAGGCGAUGAAGGACGUGCUAAUCUGCGAUAAGCGUCGGUAAGGUGAUAUGAACCGUUAUAACCGGCGAUUUCCGAAUGGGGAAACCCAGUGUGAUUCGUCACACUAUCAUUAACUGAAUCCAUAGGUUAAUGAGGCGAACCGGGGGAACUGAAACAUCUAAGUACCCCGAGGAAAAGAAAUCAACCGAGAUUCCCCCAGUAGCGGCGAGCGAACGGGGAGCAGCCCAGAGCCUGAAUCAGUGUGUGUGUUAGUGGAAGCGUCUGGAAAGGCGCGCGAUACAGGGUGACAGCCCCGUACACAAAAAUGCACAUGCUGUGAGCUCGAUGAGUAGGGCGGGACACGUGGUAUCCUGUCUGAAUAUGGGGGGACCAUCCUCCAAGGCUAAAUACUCCUGACUGACCGAUAGUGAACCAGUACCGUGAGGGAAAGGCGAAAAGAACCCCGGCGAGGGGAGUGAAAAAGAACCUGAAACCGUGUACGUACAAGCAGUGGGAGCACAGAGCAAUCUGUGUGACUGCGUACCUUUUGUAUAAUGGGUCAGCGACUUAUAUUCUGUAGCAAGGUUAACCGAAUAGGGGAGCCGAAGGGAAACCGAGUCUUAACUGGGCGUUAAGUUGCAGGGUAUAGACCCGAAACCCGGUGAUCUAGCCAUGGGCAGGUUGAAGGUUGGGUAACACUAACUGGAGGACCGAACCGACUAAUGUUGAAAAAUUAGCGGAUGACUUGUGGCUGGGGGUGAAAGGCCAAUCAAACCGGGAGAUAGCUGGUUCUCCCCGAAAGCUAUUUAGGUAGCGCCUCGUGAAUUCAUCUCCGGGGGUAGAGCACUGUUUCGGCAAGGGGGUCAUCCCGACUUACCAACCCGAUGCAAACUACGAAUACCGGAGAAUGUUAUCACGGGAGACACACGGCGGGUGCUAACGUCCGUCGUGAAGAGGGAAACAACCCAGACCGCCAGCUAAGGUCCCAAAGUCAUGGUUAAGUGGGAAACGAUGUGGGAAGGCCCAGACAGCCAGGAUGUUGGCUUAGAAGCAGCCAUCAUUUAAAGAAAGCGUAAUAGCUCACUGGUCGAGUCGGCCUGCGCGGAAGAUGUAACGGGGCUAAACCAUGCACCGAAGCUGCGGCAGCGACGCUGAUGCGUUGUUGGGUAGGGGAGCGUUCUGUAAGCCUGCGAAGGUGUGCUGUGAGGCAUGCUGGAGGUAUCAGAAGUGCGAAUGCUGACAUAAGUAACGAUAAAGCGGGUGAAAAGCCCGCUCGCCGGAAGACCAAGGGUUCCUGUCCAACGUUAAUCGGGGCAGGGUGAGUCGACCCCUAAGGCGAGGCCGAAAGGCGUAGUCGAUGGGAAACAGGUUAAUAUUCCUGUACUUGGUGUUACUGCGAAGGGGGGACGGAGAAGGCUAUGUUGGCCGGGCGACGGUUGUCCCGGUUUAAGCGUGUAGGCUGGUUUUCCAGGCAAAUCCGGAAAAUCAAGGCUGAGGCGUGAUGACGAGGCACUACGGUGCUGAAGCAACAAAUGCCCUGCUUCCAGGAAAAGCCUCUAAGCAUCAGGUAACAUCAAAUCGUACCCCAAACCGACACAGGUGGUCAGGUAGAGAAUACCAAGGCGCUUGAGAGAACUCGGGUGAAGGAACUAGGCAAAAUGGUGCCGUAACUUCGGGAGAAGGCACGCUGAUAUGUAGGUGAAGUCCCUCGCGGAUGGAGCUGAAAUCAGUCGAAGAUACCAGCUGGCUGCAACUGUUUAUUAAAAACACAGCACUGUGCAAACACGAAAGUGGACGUAUACGGUGUGACGCCUGCCCGGUGCCGGAAGGUUAAUUGAUGGGGUCAGCGCAAGCGAAGCUCUUGAUCGAAGCCCCGGUAAACGGCGGCCGUAACUAUAACGGUCCUAAGGUAGCGAAAUUCCUUGUCGGGUAAGUUCCGACCUGCACGAAUGGCGUAAUGAUGGCCAGGCUGUCUCCACCCGAGACUCAGUGAAAUUGAACUCGCUGUGAAGAUGCAGUGUACCCGCGGCAAGACGGAAAGACCCCGUGAACCUUUACUAUAGCUUGACACUGAACAUUGAGCCUUGAUGUGUAGGAUAGGUGGGAGGCUUUGAAGUGUGGACGCCAGUCUGCAUGGAGCCGACCUUGAAAUACCACCCUUUAAUGUUUGAUGUUCUAACGUGGACCCGUAAUCCGGGUUGCGGACAGUGUCUGGUGGGUAGUUUGACUGGGGCGGUCUCCUCCUAAAGAGUAACGGAGGAGCACGAAGGUUGGCUAAUCCUGGUCGGACAUCAGGAGGUUAGUGCAAUGGCAUAAGCCAGCUUGACUGCGAGCGUGACGGCGCGAGCAGGUGCGAAAGCAGGUCAUAGUGAUCCGGUGGUUCUGAAUGGAAGGGCCAUCGCUCAACGGAUAAAAGGUACUCCGGGGAUAACAGGCUGAUACCGCCCAAGAGUUCAUAUCGACGGCGGUGUUUGGCACCUCGAUGUCGGCUCAUCACAUCCUGGGGCUGAAGUAGGUCCCAAGGGUAUGGCUGUUCGCCAUUUAAAGUGGUACGCGAGCUGGGUUUAGAACGUCGUGAGACAGUUCGGUCCCUAUCUGCCGUGGGCGCUGGAGAAUUGAGGGGGGCUGCUCCUAGUACGAGAGGACCGGAGUGGACGCAUCACUGGUGUUCGGGUUGUCAUGCCAAUGGCACUGCCCGGUAGCUAAAUGCGGAAGAGAUAAGUGCUGAAAGCAUCUAAGCACGAAACUUGCCCCGAGAUGAGUUCUCCCUGACUCCUUGAGAGUCCUGAAGGAACGUUGAAGACGACGACGUUGAUAGGCCGGGUGUGUAAGCGCAGCGAUGCGUUGAGCUAACCGGUACUAAUGAACCGUGAGGCUUAACCUU
rnacentral:rRNA from 1 species